ensembl:lncRNA
GGGAGGGGGAAAUGGGAUGGAGGGAGCUGAGGGAGUGGUAAUAGGAUGGGGAAAAUGGGGUGGUAAUGGGUUGCGGGGGAGGGAGGGAAUGGGGUGGGGGUAAUGGUAUUGAAGCAAUGGGAUGGGGCUAAUGGGAUGGGAAUGGGGGACUGGAGGGGAUAAUGGGGUCGGGGUGUUGGGAUGGAAGUGAUGGGAUGGGGGUAUUGGGGUGGGAAUGCGGGACUGGGGAGGGAGGAACUGGGAUGGGGGUAAUGGUACGGGGGUGAUGGGGUGGGGCAUAAUAGGGUAGGGGUGAUGGGGGGAGAAUAGAGGACUGGGUGAGGGAUAAUGGGGUGUGGAGUGAAGGAGUAGGGGGAACUGGGGUGGGGGUAAUGGGAUGGAAGUGAUUGGAUGGGUGUAAUGGGAUUGGGGUUAUGGAGUGUGAGGCACUGGAGUGCUGGAACUGGGAUGGAAGGAACUGGAAUGAGGACACUGGGAUGGGGGAGAAUUGAAGUGGGGACACUGGGACAGGGGAAACUGGAGUAGGGGAACUGGGAGGCAUUGAGGGAACUGGGAUGGGAGAAACUGGGAUGAGGGCAAUGAAAUGGGGGCACUGAGAUGAAGGGAACGGGGAUAAGGGAAAGCAAGAUGAGAGCACUGGGAUGGGGGUAAUGGCACAGGGCGAACUGGGGGGGGUGUGAAAUGAGUCGGGGUGAACUGAAACUGACAGAACUGGGAGUACUGGGCAGGGCUGGGGGCACUGAGUGGGGGCACCGAGGUGGUUGGGGGCACUUGGCAGGGGGCUGCCUCCAUCCCACCCUGCUCCCACAGAGCCCCCGCAGCGGCUGACGGAGCCUGAGGAACCCAAGAAGCCCAAGAAGGACAAAGGGCCCAAACCCACCAAGAAACCCAAAGCGAGAGCCCGGGGCUCCAAGAAGGACAGGGACAGGGACAAGAAGACUGACGGGGAGAAACCCCCCAAGAAACCCAAGGAGAAGCCCCCCAAAGGCUCCGAAAAGCCCCCCAAGGGCUCCAAAAAGCCCAAGGAGAAAUCCCCCAAGGAGAAGCCCCCCAAGGAGAAGCCCCCCAAAGAGAAACCCCCCAAGGAGAAGCCCCCCGGCCCCCGCGGGGUGGGGCCGGACGGGGGACAUCGCUGUCUGUGGGGCAGCCGUGGGUCCCCGAGGAGAAGGAGGAGGAGGAGGAUGGCAGAGACCGAGAAGAGCUGGAGGAGCGGCCGACCCAGCGCUGGGAGUGGGGCCGGGAGGAUCGACGCCCUGAGCCUGAGGCAGAGGUCCCUGAGGAGCCGGAGCCGCCGACACUGGACUACAACGAGCAGUUGGAGCGGGAGGACUAUGAGGACUUCGAAUACAUCCGGCGGCAGCAGAAGCCCCGCAAACCCCCAAACAGGAGGAAACCCGACCGGGUCUGGCCCCAACCGGAGACGGCACCGCCCACACCAGAGGAGCCCCCCGCACCGCUGCCCGGCCCCGUGACCGAGCGCGACUACGAGGAGGGCUGGGAGCGACCGGACUACGAUGACUUGGACUACGGGCUGCUCCCUCCGCCCAAGCCCAAGAAGC